rnacentral:rRNA from 1 species
GACGAACGCUGGCGGCGUGCCUAAUACAUGCAAGUCGAGCGAAGCGGCGGAUGGGUGAGUAACGCGUGGGUAACAUGACCUUAAGUAUGGGAUACCAUUAGGAAACAGAUGCUAAUACCGGAUACUAAAGGAUGGACCUGAGAUGCAUUAGCUAGGUGGUAAGGUAACGGAUUACCACGGCGAUGAUGCAGAGCCGAGUUGAGAGACUUACCGGCCACAUUGGGACUGAGACACGGCCCAAACUCCUACGUGAGGCAGCAUUAGGGAAUCUUCCACAAUGGACGAAAGGCUGAUAGAGCAACGCCGCGUGAGUGAAGAAGUUUUUCGGAUCGUAAAGCUCUGUUGUUGGUGAAGCGGUAAUCAACCAGAAAGUCACGGCUAACUACGUGCCAGCAGCCGCGGUAAUAC